UGACCGGGAAUCGAACCCCGAUCUCCUGGAUCCUAGGUCGAUGCUCCACCGCUGAGCCACACCCGGCCGGGCUCCUCUGCCGAUUUUUACACAGCUCUUUUGGAGUCUCCGGGCGGAUAAAUCUCUGGAAGCCCAUUACAGACACGCGUGCACUCCUGAUGCUAACAUGGAAGGGUUCACAGCAGGUCGCUGCCCAUCCUGGCAACGUUUUCAUCCUGUGCUGCUCUCGGGGAGCCAGGGUGAGGCUGGCCUCGUGGGGUCUGAGCUGAACACCAUCAUACUGAAGAGAUGUAGAGCUGAUGCCACAGAUGUUACAUUUGUUUCUUGCUCUUUGAAUGGAAGGUGGUUGCUCAAUUUGGGGAACAGUCAUAAUGUCACAUGGAAAGACAGUUUUAAAAGCCUGAAAAAGUGGCUUUGCUUGCUUUUCUGCCUCAGGUUGGUGGUUUAUUUUAUCCAUUGUUAUUGACAGGGUCAGAGCUCCUAACGCAUAGUGCAGGUGCAUUGCAAACGUGAGCACACGUCUGUUCCUGAUUUCCAAUCACAGAUCUAACACAUCCAAAUGCACUAAAUGCCUCCAGAAAAAUCCGGCAGUUUUCAAGCAGAUGAUGUGGGAAAGUUGAGUCAUGAACUCAUUCUGUUCAAGUCCAAGCCACUGAAUUUCCUGCCCGGCUAGUGACAUGGUCUCUGUUUCUGAGAAGUGCCUCAUUUCUGGAGAGUUGUUUACAUACAAGAUACAAGUUGCAUUUAAACCAAUUAAAACAACUCAAAGUAAAAAAAAAAAAAAUAACUAAGAAAUUUAGAUAAUGUAAGAAUGUCUUCAGGCUUAGAAUUAGUGAGGAAAAUUUUAAAAACAUACGAAAUGAACUACAAAAAUAUUCCAGCAUUAUCUAUAGUUGUUUAGGUUUAGACUGUUUCUCAGAACUCUACUGACUAAACUGGCUGAAGGUUUAUAACUAACUUGGUGGGGGUGAGAUUGGUGGCUGAAGACAGAGUUGGGAGAGGCUGCCAUGGGUCUACAAGAGCUAACAGUUAAAUGGAAGAUUUGUCGUAGUCCUCAGGCCUGUUUGGCUAGUUUCCAAAAAAACAGGAAUUUCUGCCUCCCAUGAUAUAAAUAUUGCCUGUUCCGCUUUUGUGUAUGCUCACCUGCUUGAUCAGUUCUGUAACAUAUGAACUCUUGGUGGUACUGCACCUCAGGGCAAGAGCAGCAGUGUUAUUUUUCAUACGUGUAUACCUAGAGGGUGCCACUUGAAACAGCCUGAAAGUGUUCUGCACGUUGGUUCUUUGCUGUUAAUGAGGAGAAGUACUGUAAGCUUGGCUUUGUGCAAUAAAACAGACACAUCUGAG